GCGCAUUGUCUGCUCUUCUCCGCUCUCUUCCCCUCCACCCCCAAGGGCUCUCACCAAAACAAAGCGCACGUGCGCGGCUUUAGAACUAGCCGCGGAGCCGUUGGAGGAGUCGCGGGACGAGCCGAGCCGAGCAGGUGAUGGGGGCGUGGCUGCCCUUAGGCCGGCAGGACCUUCUCCCUCAGCUGGAGCAGGGCACCCACCCAAGUCUGUUUGGGCAAGGAGGACCCUGAACACUGGCCAAAAAGAAAAGGCUCAGGGACAACCUGCUGCAGGACAUACAUAGGGACUUUCCACAAAGGAUAAGGGAGCAGUGUCUAGAUUAUGGGAAGGAACCGGUCUCUUGCCAGCCCUCUUAUUUGCCGGAAAGAUGGGCCUGAGUAAAAACCCCGAACUCAAACACCACUGAACUUCGAGGAAGUCUGGAUCUGAAUUCAAACUUUGUAGAUAUCUUUUCCUGGAUAAUGGAGCAAACAGUAUUUCUGGAUCCGAACACCCCUGAUUUUGGGGCAAGUUUAGGUCCAGAUCAGACCCAUCUCUAAUUUUGACCUGUAAGUCUGUCCCCCAGACAUUCUUCUUUCAUUGUUGGCCUUCUAUUUAGCUAUAGAGGCAUUUCUCCAAUCAACCUUUGUUGUGCAUUUUGAAUUGGGCAUCUUUUCAUUGACUUGAGUUGGACUGGGCCCUUAGAAAACAUGUUUCCCAUUUGCUUCCU